CAUAUGUUCUCGAUACACCCAUAUCAGUUUCAACUAUUUUUGUACAAAGCUGAUCCAGAAAAGCUCGGUCAUGUGAAAUGAUAACCAUUGGCACAUCCUGCUUGUUGAGAUAACCCUCAAGCCACUCUAUAGUAUCAAGAUCAAGAUGAUUCGUAGGUUCAUCCAAUAGUAACAAAUCUGGCUCCUGAAGUAAGAUCUUCCCCAGCGACAUUCUCAUCUGCCACCCCCCACUAAAAGAUGCCACCAACCUGUCUGAGUCCUCCUCAGAAAAUCCAAGUUCCGGCAUCAGCUUACUGACCUUGACAUCCACUUCAUCUAAGUCAACUGCUUGUGCUCGCCGCUGAAGCAAAUCAAACUCAUCCAGUAGCCUUCCCAUCAACUGCAAAUCCUCCACUGAGCUUUCCAAUGCCUUCUGAACCUUCUCCAACCUUGAUGCUAUCUCCAUUUCCUCUUUGAAUGCACUCAAAAACUCCUCCCUCACUGUCCUACUCAACGAAACCUCAAAUUCUUGGCUCAGAAAUGCAAUUUUCAUAUUUGCCUUUGCCUUUAUCACAUUCCCAGAAUCAGGCUCUUCAAGACCGGCAAUAAUCCGCAUUUGCGUCGUUUUCCCUGCACCAUUUACACCAACCAAACCAACUUUUUCGCCUUUUUUCACUUCCCAACUCACAUUCUUCAGUACCGUCGCACCCUUAUAGCUCUUACUCACAUUUUCAAGCUUCACACCUGACGAAAUUCGAGAAUCGCCAGCAUUUGACUGUUUAUAUACACGUUUUCCUUCAAAUUCACCCACAGAAUCGCUGGAAAACAAAGAUUCAAUAUCAUCUUUGGUCGAGGUUUCCGCAACCGAUGCUUCUACGGCAACUGCUUCAAUUCUAGAAUUCGCUCUUCUAGGAUUGGGUAAACUACUAGCUCUAAUACUCUUGAAGUUACCUCCGAUGGAUUGUGCGGCAGUUCGAUUCGAAACCUGGGGCUGGCAAGACCCAAAUACAGUCUUCCGAGAAUCCAACAGAGGUGAACCGGUGAGGAAGCUCGAGCGGAGGUGAAGAUGAUGAAGCUUAAUAGUCAAGUCCAUGUCUGAGAAAUCAAAGUAACAGCAAGAAAUAGAAAUGAAACAGAAGAAAUCGCUAUUCGUGAAUGGAAGGAACUCGCAAAAUCAAAGAAGAUUGCGAGACGGAAAGGAAGUGCGAGCUCCUUCAAUGACAAACUCAGAGCAAC
rnacentral:misc_RNA from 1 species